ensembl:lncRNA
CCUGUAUGAGACUGAAGCUGGACAGGCUUAGCCUAACGCACCAGGAGCAAAAAGGAUUCCCAGCAACCCUUCUGGAUGACACUGUGUGUGUGCAUGCAUGGGAUUUUUGUCAGAGUUAGAACUAGGGCAGGGCAGCUGGGCCUUUUCUUCAGGACCCUGGAUUGAAGGGGGGUACCCAAUGUACUUGCAGUCCUCCAGCAGAAUAGAAACAACAGAGCUUAACAUCUAGUCAGUACAAAGAAUUUGUUAAAAGAGGAAAAUACCGGAUGGGAGGCUUGGGUGGACUCCUACCCCCAUCUCAUCCUACUUCUCACCUGCCCUGCCCCCCCUCAUCUAGGUGCCUUCUACCACUUGCCCCAGGUGCAAAAAUUCCUUCUUCUAAGUCUGGCUUCUGUGUGGGUCGGGGUGCAUUCCCUUUCAAAUGAGAGAGAGAGAAUUAAUUAGCCUUGGAGUUCCUUCCUGGGAAUCUGCUGCUCAGCUCCCCCGCUUCACACCCUCCCCCCUCUCUCCCUCCCUUUCCCGAAGAGCAGGCCAAGAUAGCUGGCAGAAACACUUGAGAGCAGAGGCUAAUUCGGGGCUGCUCAGGAAGCCAGCGCAGCACAGCUGAGAUAAUGGGCCUUCCAUAGAACAGGAUGAGGAGGCUUCCUCAGCCUGUGGCCUGGCAGCUGGAGCCCAGAGCUGCUCAGUGAAUGUAGACCCGACAGGUAGAAAGCUCACCUUCCCAGCCUGGCUUGAACACCUUUCCACCACCUCAGUGGAGUUUAGAAGGGGCCAGGGACCCCUUGGAAGGAAAGGCCAAAGCCCCAAGGACCUGGGAACAUCGCCGGCAUCACACUGCAAAGCCACGACAAAGAUGAGUCAGGAAUCCAGGUGUCCCAGAUACUGGUCCAGGGCUCUUCCUGCUUGGCUCCACUGUCUCCAGUCUGGGAGGUACAGGACAGGAUCUGGGACUCUAGCCAGGCCCUGGAAGGAGAGCCCCUGUGGCGGGGAAGAGACAGAUCUGCAGCAGGAAAGCCGGACAACAAAGAGGGCUCACGCUGGCAGUUCUGUUGUGUGGGUAGGGGACACCGAAGUCCAAAGAAAACAACGGGCGGCUCCCCUCUGCCCAGAGAAUCCAACACUCCAGCUGAAUGAUGGGAGGGAAUGGCCAAGCUCUCGCCUAGAUCCUGGGCACUCUCUGCUUUCUCCAGACCUCCUGGCAUUUCUUCCUUGUCCCUCCAGCAGCCCAAGGACCUAGGCAAAAGGCAGGCAGUGAAACAAACCGCUGAACAGAGAAGAGGAGAAGAGAAAACCAAUCUGCCACCAAAGUGGGCAAUGCUUUCAAAAUGUUGGAUGGUUUCAUGCUUCUGGACCCCAGGGUGUCUUCUUCCUCUUCUUGUGAAGUUUGCACCAUUCACUUUUGAGUAUUUCAUGGUCGGUUAUUCUUCCUAUUUCCAUCAUUGGAACUGUGUUGACUGUUUUGCCUUCCUUCAUUCGGCAUCGAUUGCCCCCUUGGUAUUUGCCAUGUUUGUCAUUUCUUAGGCCACAGUCAGAUUCCAUUCCACCCGUGUAGCUGUUCCCCAAUAGAUGGGCGUCGACUUUGGGGCCAGUUCUUUGCUCCCCUAUCCACAUGCUUUUGGUCAAAGACCUCCUUGGGGCAUGUGCCUGGCGGCAGUGAGAUCUCUGGGGCAAAGGGCUUUGAUGGAUAUUGUAGUCACUUUCUCUGCAUAAUUCCCAAUGGUUUUCCAUAAUGGUUGGACAAGUUCGCCAGCGGUUGAUUCCUGCCAGGUAAUGGUUCCUGGUCAACUCCCUCCAUCUGCCCCGCCCUACACCCCUCCCUCUGCUACUCCUCAGUGCCCCUAGCUCUUGAUUUGGGAUAGACAAGCUUAACUAGCUCCUCCUUUGACACCCUGGUGCCUAAAGUCACCUUCCACUUGUUUACUUUUUAAAAAAA